rnacentral:rRNA from 1 species
GGCAUCAACAUGAGCGGGCUGGCAUCCUUCGGGGUUACAGCCUUGCUGAAUUAUUCACCCGUGUCUUUUGCGUACUUCUUGUUUCCUUGGUGGGUUCGCCCACCAUAGGACAAACCAUAAACCUUUUGUAAUUGCAAUCAGCGUCAGUAAAAAAAUUAAUAAUUACAACUUUUAACAACGGAUCUCUUGGUUCUGGCAUCGAUGAAGAACGCAGCGAAAUGCGAUAAGUAGUGUGAAUUGCAGAAUUCAGUGAAUCAUCGAAUCUUUGAACGCACAUUGCGCCCUUUGGUAUUCCAAAGGGCAUGCCUGUUCGAGCGUCAUUUGUACCCUCAAGCUUUGCUUGGUGUUGGGCGUCUUGUCUCCAGUUCGCUGGAGACUCGCCUUAAAGUAAUUGGCAGCCGGCCUACUGGUUUCGGAGCGCAGCACAAGUCGCGCUCUCUUCCAGCCAAGGUCAGCAUCCACAAAGCCUUUUUUCAACUUUUGACCUCGGAUCAGGUAGGGAUACCCGCUGAACUUAAGCAUAUCAAUAGGGCGGAGGA